AUUGGCAUUAAUAUCCAUUGAGAUAUGGAACGCGCGAGACUUUUGUAUAUGUUUGAGAAACAACUAAUCGGCUGAGUGCGCGAAAACAGUAGUCGAGAGACGGACUUUUACCUCCGUCUCCAUGACCCUUCCCUCUUCCCAUGUCCCAU
ensembl:ncRNA F41C6.14 ncRNA